rnacentral:rRNA from 1 species
AGGGAAACUUACUGAUAAUACUGGAUAAGUUAGUAUAUCGCAUGAUAUGCAAAUGAAAGCUACGGCACUAAAGGAGAGCUUUGCGUCCUAUUAGCUAGUUGGUAAGGUAAGAGCUUACCAAGGCGAUGAUAGGUAGCCGGCCUGAGAGGGUGACGGCCACAAGGGGACUGAGAUACGGCCCUUACUCCUACGGGAGGCAGCAGCG